GACGAACGCUGGCGGCGUGCUUAACACAUGCAAGUCGAACGGAAAUGCCCUGCUUUUGUGCGGUGCUCGAGUGGCGAACGGGGGAGUAACACGUGAGUAACCUGCCCUUGACUUUGGGAUAACUUCAUGAAACUGGGGCUAAUACCGGAUAGGAGCUCCUGCUGCAUGGUGGGGGUUGGAAAGUUUCGGCGGUUGGGGAUGGACUCGCGGCUUAUCAGCUUGUUGGUGGGGUAGUGGCUUACCAAGGCAUUGACGGGUAGCCGGCCUGAGCGGGUGACCGGACAAACUGGGACUGAGAUACGGCCCAGACUCCUACGGUAGGCAGAGGAGGGGAAGGUUGCACAAUGGACGGGAGGCUGAUGCGGCAACGCCGCGUCCGGGAUGACGGCCUGGGGGUUGUAAACCGAUUCCGCCUGUGCCGAAGCGUGAGUGACGGUAAUGGGGAAAGAAGCCCCGGCUAACUACGUG
rnacentral:rRNA from 1 species